rnacentral:rRNA from 1 species
AGAGUUUGAUCAUGGCUCAGAUUGAACGCUGGCGGCAGGCUUAACACAUGCAAGUCGAACGGUAACAGGAAGGAAGCUUGCUUUCUUUGCUGACGAGUGGCGGACGGGUGAGUAAUGCUUGGGAAUCUGGCUUAUGGAGGGGGAUAACUACGGGAAACUGUAGCUAAUACCGCGUAAUAUCUUCGGAUUAAAGGGUGGGACCGUAAGGCCACCUGCCAUAAGAUGAGCCCAAGUGGGAUUAGGUAGUUGGUGGGGUAAAGGCCUACCAAGCCGACGAUCUCUAGCUGGUCUGAGAGGAUGACCAGCCACACUGGAACUGAGACACGGUCCAGACUCCUACGGGAGGCAGCAGUGGGGAAUAUUGCACAAUGGGGGGAACCCUGAUGCAGCCAUGCCGCGUGAAUGAAGAAGGCCUUCGGGUUGUAAAGUUCUUUCGGUGAUGAGGAAGGCGGUUGUUUUAAUAGAACAAUCGAUUGACGUUAGUCACAGAAGAAGCACCGGCCAACUCCGUGCCAGCAGCCGCGGUAAUACGGAGGGUGCGAGCGUUAAUCGGAAUGACUGGGCGUAAAGGGCACGCAGGCGGUGACUUAAGUGAGAUGUGAAAGCCCCGGGCUUAACCUGGGAAUUGCAUUUCAUACUGGGUCGCUAGAGUGUUUUAGGGAGGGGUAGAAUUCCACGUGUAGCGGUGAAAUGCGUAGAGAUGUGGAGGAAUACCGAAGGCGAAGGCAGCCCCUUGGGAAUAUACUGACGCUCAUGUGCGAAAGCGUGGGGAGCAAACAGGAUUAGAUACCCUGGUAGUCCACGCUGUAAACGCUGUCGAUUUGGGGAUUGGGCUUUAAGCUUGGUGCCCGU